rnacentral:rRNA from 1 species
CAAUAGCGUAUAUUAAAGUUGUUGCGGUAAAAAAGCUCGUAGUUGGAUUUCUGUUGAGAGCGACCGGUCCAUACCAUGUAUGCGUAUCUGGCUUGCUCUCGGCAUCCUCUCGAUAGACGUUACUGCGCUUGAUUGCGUGGUGCGGAUCUCGGGACUUUUACUUUGAGGAAAUUAGAGUGUUUACGGCAGGCUUUCGCCAGAAUACAUUAGCAUGGAAUAAUACUAUAGGAUCUUGGUUCUAUUUUGUUGGUUUCUAGAAUUGAGAUAAUGAUUAAUAGGGACAAUUGGGGGCAUUCGUAUCAACACGUCAGAGGUGGAAUUCUUGGAUUGUGUUGCGACGAACUACUGCGAAAGCAUUUGCCAAGGAUGUUUUCAUUGA